rnacentral:rRNA from 1 species
UACGUAGGGUGCGAGCGUUGUCCGGAAUUAUUGGGCGUAAAGAGCUUGUAGGCGGUCUGUCGCGUCUGCUCUGAAAAUCCGGGGCUCAACCCCGGACUUGCAGUGGGUACGGGCAGACUAGAGUGUGGUAGGGGAGACUGGAAUUCCUGGUGUAGCGGUGAAAUGCGCAGAUAUCAGGAGGAACACCGAUGGCGAAGGCAGGUCUCUGGGCCACUACUGACGCUGAGAAGCGAAAGCAUGGGGAGCGAACAGG